rnacentral:lncRNA from 1 species
GUGAAAGUGAAAGUGUUUUCCUCACACAAGCGACUAACGGACACUAGUAACGGACUCUCAACCCGAGCAGACAGCUGAAAUCCCCAAAGCCAUCAAUUAUCAACAUGGUGCAGCGAGAUUUGCGUGAGCCGAAAUUGUUCAUGAUGGUGUUUGGGAACCCGCUUAACUCUCACCUGACGUUUAUGAACCGACUCAGGCAACGUCUCAGUUACGGUGAAGGGACUUCAAUAGAAGAGAGCGACGUCAUCAUUGCUUUCGUCGCCAUUUCAUCUCGAGCUGGAACAGAUAUUGAAGCUGCUCUUCAGGAAAUUCCACAAGGAUUGGCUCAGUCUAUUUUUCUAGUGGUGCUCCACCACACCUUUGAUGAAAAUUGGGUGAUUCCAGACAGCAGGCGGUCUGUUAACAGGAGGAACGUCUUCACUGUGGACUGCCUGUUUCAUGAAGACCUAGGCUUCCUGAGAUGUCAAAGCAACGACGAGGCUCUGAGAGCAGUUACUGAUCGUCUAAUCUUUUUAGGAGUUUCAGAAAGGUCAACGCCUGAGGCAGAUGGUAUCCCUGAAAGACCCAAACCAUUCCCUCGCUGGAUCGCGAAAUUACUGGUUGGGAUCGGUGGGGUAGCUGUGGCAUCAGCUGUAGUCUGCUUUAUCUAUUUUUUAGUUAAUCCCAAGUAGUCAGUGCAGUUCUGACCGCAGCUCUGCAGUAACAUUUAUAAAUGGUUAAUCUGUACUCUGAUAUGUAGUUAAUAUAACAUCUGUUUAAAAGCUGUAUGAAUGUGUUUGUCUCCUGCAUAUAAAGAGUUUUGAUCCCAGAUUUGACCAGGAAAUCAUCUCUGUUAUCAGUGGAAUAUGUUUGUAAUCUAAUUGUGAAUAAUAAUAAUAACAAUACUGAAUAAUCUCUUGGCAUCUUUUAUAUACUGUAGAUCUGUGAUCAAUGAUUUUCCUCAUGCUUGAACCUGUACUGUGUUACUCUUAAA